GGGUAAUUUGUAAAGAAAAGAGGUUUAUUUUGGAUCACAAUUCUGCAGGCUGUACAAGCAUGGCACUAGCAUCUGCUCCUGGUGAGGAAAUUUUUUAUUUGUAUUUUUAUAUUUUCAGUAGAGACAGAGUUUCCCCAUCUUGCCCAGGCUGGUCUCAAACUCCUGGGCUCAAGCGAUCCACCCACCUCAGCCUCCCAAAGUGCUAUGAUUACAGGCCAGAGCCACUGCAUCUGGCUGGAGGUCACAUUUUUGCCCUGUGGAUUCUGUUUUAUGCUUCCUUUUCUGCCUUUUCUUCUUGUCCUGUGCUUUUCCUUCUCUAGUAAAGCGCUCUGUAUUCUAGAAUAAAAAGUGGGAGCUAUUUCUGCAGCAUCCACAGCAAACAGAGAUGGACUUACUCCCUUAAAUCUGAGCUGAGGAUCAGUUGGCCAAAUUCUCACUGGGUAAGUUGGUCUAAUGACAGCAACAUUUCCUGGAUAUGAGAGUUUUCAGAGCUCUUAGAAGGGGUUGGGCCAGGCAUGGCGGCUCAUGCCUGUAAUCCCAGCACUUUGGGAGGCCGAGGUGGGCGGAUCACCUGAGGUCAGGAGUUCAAGACCAGCUUGGCCAACAUGGUGAAACCCCCAUCUCUACUAAAAAUACAAAAAUUAGCCGGGCAUGGCAGCAGGUGCCUGUAAUCCCAGCUAUUCAGGAGGCUGAGGCAGGAGAAUUUCUAGAACCUGGGAGGCAGAGGCUGCAGUGAGCCGAGAUGGUACCACUGUACUCCAGCUUGGGCAACAAAGCGAGACUCUGUCUCACUCUUAAAAAAAAAAGAAAAAAGGUGGGUGGGGGAGGUUGGAGCCAUGGGUGUCUGACUCUCCCUGGGAUGAUUUACAUAUAUUAUCUCAUUUAAUCUUCACAGCAAGCCUUUGAGGCAGGCAGCAUGAGUCAGCUGAGACUCAAAGAGAUAAAGCCACCCACCCAAGAUAGGGCAGCUGGUAAGUGAGAUGCCACCUACACCCUCAGUCCUACUUACUCGGAAGUCCAUGUACGCUGAUGUUUGCUGUUACCACACUCUGUGGUUCUGCCACUACCAUCCUUGUGAAACUCGUGAAAGCUGCAGACAUGCCACAGCUCAGCCUUUCCAAUUAUAAAAGGAGAAUAAAAAAUAUCUCCAAGAGGAUGGAGUUUUCUAGAGCUCCUUCUUCCAUCUAGUUGAUGACCCUUAGAAAAUGCUUAGUAAAAUGAGAAAGCAUUUUUAAUAGGAAAAGGUCAAAUGAAGAAAUCUUCUAGAUGACACCAUAAAGCUUUAAAAACCCUUUCAACUUCUGUUCUAAGCCCUUCUUCCUGGUACUCAGGCCAAGAGAAUCCCGUCUUGGCAAGGCUGCCUCUGAACCAUUUUUGCAGAGAGUCAGGCAUUCAUUCAUUCUUUCCCUGAAUGUUUCCUGAGCAGUUCUGACCAAAGCACAGGGGAGUCAGCCUCUAUUCCUGCCCUCCAGUUGCUCCUUGGCUUGCAUCUUAAUCUUCUGGGCUGCUAUAACAAAAUAGCACACACGGGAUGGCUUUUAAACAACAGAAA
rnacentral:lncRNA from 1 species